GAUGAAGAACGUAGCGAAAUGCGAUAAGUAAUGCGAAUUGCAGAAUUUCCGUGAAUCAUCGAAUCUUUGAACGCACAUUGCGCCCCUUGGUAUCCCGAGGGGCAUGCCUGUUCGAGCGUCAUUUCACCACUCAAGCCUGGCUUGGUGUUGGGCGACGUCCCCUUUGGGGACGCGCCUCGAAACGCUCGGCGGCGUGGCACCGGCUUUAAGCGUAGCAGAAUCUUUCGCUUUGGAAGUCGGGGCCCCGUCUGCCGGAAGACCUACUCGCAAGGUUGACCUCGGAUCAGGCAGGGAUACCCGCUGAACUUAAGCAUAUCAAUAAGCGGAGGA
rnacentral:misc_RNA from 1 species